GGUGGUGUGGCGAAGUGGCUAACGCGGAGGUCUGCAAAACCUCUAUUCGCGGGUUCGAUUCCCGCCACCACCU
rnacentral:tRNA from 1 species